rnacentral:rRNA from 1 species
AUUGAACGCUGGCGGCAUGCCUAACACAUGCAAGUCGAACGGCAGCACAUUCCCACCUUAUAGAAUCUUUGAGAAAGGGUUUUAUAAGGUGGGAAGGGUGGCGAGUGGCGGACGGGUGAGUAACGCGUAGGAAUCUGCCUUGUAGUGGGGGAUAACCCGGGGAAACUCGGGCUAAUACCGCAUACUAUUCGAGAGAAGAAAGGAGGGGACUGCGCCUUUGAGGGCUUUUGAGAGAGAGCCUUGAAAGGCGCGGCCUUUCGCUAUAAGAGGAGCCUGCGUUGGAUUAGCUAGUUGGAAGGGUAAAGGCCUCCCAAGGCGACGAUCCAUAACUGGUCUGAGAGGAUGACCAGUCACACUGGGACUGAGACACGGCCCAGACUCCUACGGGAGGCAGCAGUGGGGAAUAUUGGACAAUGGGGGCAACCCUGAUCCAGCAAUGCCGCGUGUGUGAAGAAGGCCUGCGGGUUGUAAAGCACUUUUGGUUGGGAAGAAGGCAGUGGCGUGAAUAACGUCA